rnacentral:rRNA from 1 species
AAGCUGAGGAAAAGGAAACCAACUGGGAUUACCUUAGUAACGGCGAGUGAAGCGGUAAAAGCUCAAAUUUGAAAUCUGGUACUUUCAGUGCCCGAGUUGUAAUUUGUAGAAUUUGUCUUUGAUUAGGUCCUUGUCUAUGUUCCUUGGAACAGGACGUCAUAGAGGGUGAGAAUCCCGUUUGGCGAGGAUACCUUUUCUCUGUAAGACUUUUUCGAAGAGUCGAGUUGUUUGGGAAUGCAGCUCAAAGUGGGUGGUAAAUUCCAUCUAAAGCUAAAUAUUGGCGAGAGACCGAUAGCGAACAAGUACAGUGAUGGAAAGAUGAAAAGAACUUUGAAAAGAGAGUGAAAAAGUACGUGAAAUUGUUGAAAGGGAAGGGCAUUUGAUCAGACAUGGUGUUUUUUGCAUGCACUCGCCUCUCGUGGGCUUGGGCCUCUCAAAAAUUUCACUGGGCCAACAUCAAUUCUGGCAGCAGGAUAAAUCAUUAAGAAUGUAGCUACUUCGGUAGUGUUAUAGCUUUUUGGAAUACUGUUAGCCGGGAUUGAGGACUGCGCUUCGGCAAGGAUGUUGGCAUAAUGGUUAAAUGCCGCCCGUCUUGAACAACGGACCCAA